UACACAGAAUGUCCGUAGAUAGAACAGCGGGAAAAAGCACUUAAACAUGAGUAAAGCCUGGUUCUAAGGGAGCUGCUGUUGCUGUUGUUACGCGGCUGUAGGGGAAAAGCAAUAGUAAGACAUGGAGUACAGUCCUAUGCCAAAACGGAAGGUUCAUGCAUUUGGAGAAGCCAGGCACUGUUUGUCCUUGGCCAGAACCAUGAGGACAAUCAUUACAGUUUCAGCUUACGUUGUGCGGAUUUCUACAGAGCUCAGACUGGAGAAUUUUGCGGAACCUGGCAACACUGCUGAGACUGGACUGGAUUUUAUGCUUCUCCUGGACUGACUGUACUUGUGUUUCUACUGUGCCACUGCAGACAGAAGUGGGUUAAGUGUAAAGUUGUCAAAAUAAUACUUAAUUGCAGCAAUGAAGCACAAUUGC